rnacentral:rRNA from 1 species
AGUGAACGCUGGCGGUAGGCCUAACACAUGCAAGUCGAACGGCAGCACAGUAAGAGCUUGCUCUUACGGGUGGCGAGUGGCGGACGGGUGAGGAAUACAUCGGAAUCUACUUUUUCGUGGGGGAUAACGUAGGGAAACUUACGCUAAUACCGCAUACGACCUACGGGUGAAAGCAGGGGAUCUUCGGACCUUGCGCGAUUGAAUGAGCCGAUGUCGGAUUAGCUAGUUGGCGGGGUAAAGGCCCACCAAGGCGACGAUCCGUAGCUGGUCUGAGAGGAUGUUCAGCCACACUGGAACUGAGACACGGUCCAAACUCCUACAGGAGGCAGCAGUGGGGAAUAUUGGACAAUGGGCGCAAGCCUGGUCCAGCCAUACCGCGUGGGUGAAGAAGGACUUCGGGUUGUAAAGCCCUUUUGUUGGGCAAGAAAAGCAGCAGGUUAAUACCCCGCUGUUCUGACGGUACCCAAAGAAUAAGCACCGGCUAACUUCGUG